UACAGGGGGUGCAAACGUUGCUCGGAAUUAUUGGGCGUAAAGCGCGCGUAGGCGGCUACUUAAGUCGGAUGUGAAAGCCCUUGGCUCAACUGAGGAAGUGCACCCGAAACUGAGUGGCUAGAGUACGAAAGAGGGUCGCGGAAUUCCCGGUGUAGAGGUGAAAUUCGUAGAUAUCGGGAGGAACACCAGCGGCGAAGGCGGCGAUCUGGGGGGAUACUGACGCUGAGGUGCGAAAGCUAGGGGAGCGAACGGG
rnacentral:rRNA from 1 species